rnacentral:rRNA from 1 species
GACGAACGCUGGCGGCGUGCUUAACACAUGCAAGUCGAACGGAAAGGCCCUGCUUUUGUGGGGUGCUCGUGUGGCGAACGGGUGAGUAACACGUGAGUAACCUGCCCUUGACUUUGGGAUAACUUCAGGAAACUGGGGCUAAUACAGGAUAUGAGAUCCUGAUGCAUGGUGGGGGUUGGAAAGUUUCGGCGGUUGGGGAUGGUCUCGCGGCUUAUCAGCUUGUUGGUGGGGUUGUGGCAUACAAGGGCUUCGAAGGGUAGCCGGCCUGAGAGGGUGACCGGCGACAUUGGGACUGCGAUACGGCCCAGUCUCCUACGGGAGGCAGCAGUGGGGAAUAUUGCACAGUGGGCGGAAGCCUGAUGCAGCAACGCCGCGUGCGGGAUGACGGCCUUCGGGUUGUAAACCGCUUUCUCCUGUAACGAAGCGUGAGUGACGGUAAUGGGUAAAGAAGCACCGGCUAACUACGUG